rnacentral:rRNA from 1 species
UGGGGAAUAUUGGACAAUGGGCGAAAGCCUGAUCCAGCCAUGCCGCGUGUGUGAAGAAGGUCUUCGGAUUGUAAAGCACUUUAAGUUGGGAGGAAGGGCAGUAAGCGAAUACCUUGCUGUUUUGACGUUACCGACAGAAUAAGCACCGGCUAACUCUGUGCCAGCAGCCGCGGUAAUACAGAGGGUGCAAGCGUUAAUCGGAAUUACUGGGCGUAAAGCGCGCGUAGGUGGUUCGUUAAGUUGAAUGUGAAAGCCCCGGGCUCAACCUGGGAACUGCAUCCAAAACUGGCGAGCUAGAGUAGGGCAGAGGGUGGUGGAAUUUCCUGUGUAGCGGUGAAAUGCGUAGAUAUAGGAAGGAACACCAGUGGCGAAGGCGACCACCUGGGCUCAUACUGACACUGGGGUGCGAGAGCGUGGGGAGCAAACAGG